rnacentral:rRNA from 1 species
AACGAACGCUGGCGGCAUGCCUAAUACAUGCAAGUCGAGCGAACAGAUGAAGUGCUUGCACUUCUGACGUUAGCGGCGAACGGGUGAGUAACACGUAAGGAAUCUACCUAUAAGCGGGGGAUAACAUUCGGAAACGGGUGCUAAUACCGCAUAAUAUCUUCUUCCGCAUGGAAGAAGAUUGAAAGACGGCUCUGCUGUCACUUAUAGAUGACCUUGCGGUGCAUUAGUUAGUUGGUGGGGUAACGGCCUACCAAGACGAUGAUGCAUAGCCGACCUGAGAGGGUGAUCGGGCACAUUGGGACUGAGACACGGCCCAAACUCCUACGGGAGGCAGCAGUAGGGAAUCUUCCGCAAUGGGCGAAAGCCUGACGGAGCAAUGCCGCGUGAGUGAAGAAGGCCUUCGGGUCGUAAAACUCUGUUAUAAGGGAAGAACAAAUUGUAGAGUAACUGCUACAGUCUUGACGGUAUCUUAUCAGAAAGCCACGGCUAACUACGUGCCAGCAGCCGCAGUAA